UUCGGUGAUCGACAGUUACGCGCGGAAGCCGUAUCGUCCUCAUUAAUUUCAGGUUUCCAAGAAUCCUACGUACCGACAGACGAAUCAUCCCGGCUUUCUUCUUCUACAUAGACUUUGUUUUGAUAGACGUCCUGUGUAUAAGCUCAAAUAAAAGAAGAAUCAUUUUCUUCAUCAUAAGGGGGCAGGAUGCUCAUCGUGCAAAGAACCAUCAAACAUUCCGUUCAAAUAAAAGAAGAAUCAUCCUCUUCAUCAUUCUGCAGCAGGAUAUCCAUCGCGCAAGCAUCAACGAAGAUUUUAAGUAAAUUCAUCGAUUCAACGAUUCAACGAUUUAACGAUUCAACAAUAAUUUCAAUCAACCUCACAUCAUUCAACCUACUACGAGGGGGAUGAGUGUUUUGGAGCCAUCGCAGAACUACAAAGCGAAACUGAAGCAAGAACUAUAAAGGUCGCUCAAAGACCCGACAUUGUUGUCGAUUCACUAAGAAAAUUAUCCCCAUCUUACAAUUCAAUUCUAAAAUAACAUAC